rnacentral:rRNA from 5 species
AAACCAACAGGGAUUGCCCUAGUAACGGCGAGUGAAGCGGCAACAGCUCAAAUUUGAAAUCUGGCCUUCGGGUCCGAGUUGUAAUUUGUAGAGGAUGCUUUUGGCGCGGUGCCUUCCGAGUUCCCUGGAACGGGACGCCUUAGAGGGUGAGAGCCCCGUACGGUUGGACACCAAGCCUCUGUAAAGCUCCUUCGACGAGUCGAGUAGUUUGGGAAUGCUGCUCUAAAUGGGAGGUAAAUUUCUUCUAAAGCUAAAUAUUGGCCAGAGACCGAUAGCGCACAAGUAGAGUGAUCGAAAGAUGAAAAGCACUUUGAAAAGAGGGUUAAAUAGCACGUGAAAUUGUUGAAAGGGAAGCGUUUGCGACCAGACUUUUUCCUAGCGGAUCAUCCGGUGUUUUCACCGGUGCACUUUGCUAGGUUAAGGCCAGCAUCGGUUUCUGUAGGGGGAUAAAAGCUUGGGGAAUGUAGCUCCCUCGGGAGUGUUAUAGCCUCUUGCAUAAUACCCUUACGGGGACCGAGGACCGCGCUUUUGCAAGGAUGCUGGCGUAAUGGUUGUCAACGAC